GACGAACGCUGGCGGCGUGCUUAACACAUGCAAGUCGAACGGAAAGGCCCUGCUUGCAGGGUACUCGAGUGGCGAACGGGUGAGUAACACGUGGGUGAUCUGCCCUGCACUUCGGGUUAAGCCCGGGAAACUGGGUUCAAUACCGGAUAGGAGCCAUUUAUAGUGUGAUGGUUGGAAAGUUUUUUUUGGUGUAGGAUGAGCUCGCGGCCUAUCAGCUUGUUGGUGGGGUAAUGGCCUACCAAGGCGGCGACGGGUAGCCGGCCUGAGAGGGUGGACGGCCACAUUGGGACUGAGGUACGGCCCAGACUCCUACGGGAGGCAGCAGUGGGGAAUAUUGCACAAUGGGCGCAGGCCUGAUGCAGCGACGCCGCGUGGGGGAUGACGGCCUUCGGGUUGUAAACUCCUUUCGCUAGGGACGAAGCUUUUUGUGACGGUACCUAGAGAAGAAGCACCGGCUAACUACGUG
rnacentral:rRNA from 1 species